rnacentral:tRNA from 1 species
CGGGCUGUAGCGCAGACUGGUAGCGCAUUCCCUUGGGGUGGGAGAGGUCGGAGGUUCAAAUCCUCUCAGCCCGA